CCUACGGGUGGCAGCAGUGAGGAAUAUUGGUCAAUGGACGCAAGUCUGAACCAGCCAUGCCGCGUGCAGGAAGACGGCUCUAUGAGUUGUAAACUUCUUUUGUACGAGGGUAAACGCAGAUACGCGUAUCUGUCUGAAAGUAUCGUACGAAUAAGGAUCGGCUAACUCCGGUCCAGCCGCCGCGGUAAUACGGAGGGUUCAAGCGGUAUCCGGAUUUUUUGGGUUUAAAGGGUGCGUAGGCGGUCGUAUAAGUUAGAGGUGAAAUCCCGAGGCGCAAAUUCGGAAUUGCCUCUGAUACUGUUCGGCUAGAGAGUAGUUGCGGUAGGCGGAAUGUAUGGUGUAGCGGUGAAAUGCUUAGAGAUCAUACAGAACACCGAUUGCGAAGGCAGCUUACCAAGCUACUUCUGACGUUGAGGCACGAAAGCGUGGGGAGCAAACAGGAUUAGAUACCCGGGUAGUC
rnacentral:rRNA from 1 species